ACCCCGGAAGGAAUUUCCUCCUCUGGCGGCCGCUAUUGUUGUUCGUCUUCGCUGUUUGGGUCGGAUCGCGUAACCAUAGUAUCCAAACUGUGUCCGUGCGGGGCCCCAGCCCGGGACCCCCGUGCCCCCCAGACCAACCCUCCACUUUUUUCUUUUUGCAGUCUAGUUAUCAUGACUUCAUCGGACUCCGGGGAGCAGAGGAGGGGGAUGGGACGGGGGGGGGCGGGGAGCUGGCCCAUUCCUGGCGGCCCUUACUUCGAGAUGGUUUCAAUUAGAAUUUUUAAAAAGUCUGCUUUGUGGGUUCGGGGCUUUUACAUCCCCCCUCCUCCCGUAAAAUCGUUGGCCGGAACUCGAAUGGGGCUUUCCCUCCGUUUCCCCCCUAGAGCUCUUCGCUCCAGCCGGACUUCCCGGCUCAACCGGGCGACGAGGGCAUUUGCAGUAGGAAUCAUCCCCUAAACGCACCCCGGACCUCGCGGCUGCGCUGGCGAGGCCGGCGAUGGGGGCCAGGACCCUCGGACACUACAGCCUCAGGGCACGUCCUGCUGGGGUUUGGGGCUCUCAGGCGAUGUUCUGGGAGAGGAGGUUCGCGGGAUGGAUGCCUGUCAGUCACACCAGGAGGGGUGGCAGAGGAUAAAGGGGUGACAGGGAAGCAGUUGACAGGUUCUUGGGUAGAACAAGCCUCCUAGCCUCUUUAAUUCCCCCCACCCCUCAUCUCUGAGCCACAGACGAGUAGGUGCGUGCGUAGAGCCUGGACCCAAUGUCUGCCUCAACCUCUGAAGAAAAAUAAAAAGGCAAAACCAGCCUUUUCCCGCGAAGUGCCUUGUGCGGGGAGGGGUGGGAGGCAGCAGCAAGUCCGCACCGAGCGGGCUGC
rnacentral:lncRNA from 1 species